rnacentral:misc_RNA from 1 species
GAUGAAGAACGUAGCGAAAUGCGAUAAGUAAUGUGAAUUGCAGAAUUCAGUGAAUCAUCGAAUCUUUGAACGCACAUUGCGCCCGCCAGUAUUCUGGCGGGCAUGCCUGUUCGAGCGUCAUUUCAACCAUCAAGCCCCAGGCUUGUGUUGGAGCCCUGCGGCUGCCGCAGCCUCCCAAAACCAGUGGCGGGCUCGCUAUCACUCCGAGUGCAGUAGUUUACUCUUCGCUCAGGGCGUGUGGCGGGUGCUAGCCGUGAAACCCCCAACUUCUCAAGGUUGACCUCGGAUCAGGUAGGAAUACCCGCUGAACUUAAGCAUAUCAAUAAGCGGAGGA